CACCGACACCGCCUGCGUCCCUCCUCACGCUGACGCCACUGAUGGGCGGCGCCCUCUAUCUCGGGGAUGUGUCUCCGCUUCGGAUGGGCGGCACCAUGGCAUUUCGGCGGCUUCUCCCCGGAGACGUCUCUGGACACUUCCCCCGUGUUUGGUCACUGUGAGACGCAGGGAAAAGCCCAGGGGUACCAUCAUGUAUACGAAGGGGGUCGACAAGGGUGUUCAGGCAUAACUCAGUGCUUGGAUUGUCCAUUUCAGCUGCUGAAGGCCUUGUGCUGCACAAUUCAAGCCCAAGUUCAUCUGUAUUAUGUUCUGCACAUACGGAGCCACCGACAUUUACCAGGUUUUCUGAUGGGGGGCGAUGCCAAGGCUAAUAGGUUGGCUAACCCUGUAUGGGUGGCACCUCAGUCUGGCAGGAUUGCACAAGCCAUGACCUUUUCCUUCUGAAUGCAUGCACUCUGCGAAGGCAAUUUCCUUUAAUUGCAGCCAAGGCUCGUGACAUUGUCAAAUUUUGGAUUGACGGUCGUGGUCUUGCAGCAUUUUUGCCAGUGGGGGUGGACCCUAGAGGUCUUACGGCCCUGCUGCGUUGGCAACCAGAUGCUACAUCACUGCAAUUGGCAAAUUCAGGUACAUGCGUGUGUCUAUUGCUACCUUUUUCUCCACCAUAUGGGUAUCUGCUCAUAUUGGAGAGAAGGGUUGCGGUGUGACUGCCCAUUGAAGGAUGGCUUUUUGUGAUUUUGGGCAUGCCUUCUGCUGUGAAAACCGACAAUGGCCCUGCUUAUGUCUUUCAAAAGACAAAGCAGUUUUUACAGAUGUGGAGAGUCUCACACAAACUUGGCACUCCACAUUCUCCGACAGGUCGAGCCAUUGCUUUAUGUGUUUUGGGUCUUCUGAAGCAUGUUUUGGACAGACAGAGAAGGGGAAUGGCUGGUGAAACACCACACAGCUGAUUUGAAAAGGCUUUGUGUGCCAUCAAUCACCUUACAGUGCCACAAGAUUCCAAUAAUCCUGUUGUUGUGAGUCACUUUGCCUCAUUACAGGCUCUGGACAGCACACCUGCCUCGAGCAAAGGCUCUGGUAUGUGACCUGACCAUGGACAAAUGGGAGGGCCCACAUGGACUUAUCGUUUGGGGCCACGGGAACGCUUGUGUUUCAAUGGAUACUGGAAUAUGCUGGCUGCCUGCAAGGUGUGUCUGCCUUGACCUGCUACAGCAGAAGCAGAAUGUGGCCAGUGCACAACCUUCAAGUGCUGAUCACCAACCAGAUCCCUGUCUGAGCUGUCUGGAAAUUCUUCCUGUCUGAACUGUUCUGAUAUUCAAGAGCUGUAUUCUGGUUUAGAUAGAUUUCAUUAAUGUAUUAGAUAUGGUAAGAUGUAUGAAAAAGAUAUUAUAGAGAUUUUAGUUUUAUGGUAGAUUUCACUAUUGUAUUAGAAAUAAUAUUUUGCAGUCUCUUGCAAGAAAGAGCAGCAGGUGCGAAAAUUUUAUGAAUAUUUGAGGUAUCUUCAAGUCUCUUGAGUGGUGUCCUCCCUUGCACGGGGCUCUGCAGGGGACUACAAACACUUCUCUUUUUUCCUUUUUUUAAAUAAAGAAGCGGGACUUGUGGAGGCACAUUAACCUGUCGGAAAGCUGUGUGAGAACACGGGGCUUUCCCAAGGGCUGGCCUAGGGGCAAAGGUUUUCCCAGGAACAAAGGCAUAUGCUACUGUUUA